GAACAAACCCGCAAGAACCCGCAGGACUUUUUUUUUUCUCAUCGGCAGAUCUCGCGAAACCUGGCUGUCGCCGCCGGCCCGCCGCCACCAUAGUUGACAUCUCCGCCCAGCCACCCCGAUGCAUUUGACACCCAAAUCCCCGUCCGACCGCCCGCUGCCCAUAACCGGUCAUCUUCUCGCGCCGCCCACCACGAAGUCGCUCGAGGGCCGACCCAGACGCCCUGCAUCUACACUGCCACUGCUCCGGCCAGUCUGGCGCCGCCGUGGAGAUGCCUAGCAGCACAGUAGUGCGCCAGCGCCCGAGCAUCUAGCUUCUGUGGUCUCCGCUCAACUACUCAGCCAGCCUGCGGGCUAAGCCGUUACGCUCUGCCAUGUCACCAAGUAGCAGCCACCCCUGCGCGCUGCUCUGCAAGUCUGCAUCUCAGGGCCCAAGGAAGAAGAUUCUCCUUGCAGUGGGUCCUCAGUCGAAGCAACGGCAAAGAUGAGCAGCAUGAUCUGCGACUUGGAAUUUGGAAACAUUUAUUUGGUAACUGCAAAUUAUUGGUGUAACUGAAGAAUGCCUUACUGCAGAUCUUGUAGGUCCUCCGUAUGUGCUUGAAGGAGAUUCGCAGUUGUACUCCAGAUAGUGAAUUAUAACAUAAGUUGAUGAAACAUGAGCAUGUUGCAUCAUGCAUCAUCAGACUGUCAGAUGCCUGUUUCUAAUAUUCUUUCUUAAAAGGACACGUCAGGUGUUGCAACCCAUUUUUCUCACCAAGCAGGGUGUUCAGUGGGAUAGAAUACUUCUAUCGAGAUUAUCACAGUACUGUAUCAGGCAUUUAAUUAGUAUUCAGAAAACCGUAUGUGUUUUGAAGUUGAGCUGCUGCAUGCACGUGAAGGACCUGAAUUGGUUGCUAAUUAUUUGAUAAUAGAAUGCACUAUUCAGUUUUGGAUUA